CCUACGGGAGGCAGCAGUGAGGAAUAUUGGUCAAUGGACGAGAGUCUGAACCAGCCAAGUAGCGUGAAGGAUGACUGCCCUAUGGGUUGUAAACUUCUUUUAUAAAGGAAUAAAACGAGGCACGUGUGCCUUUUUGCAUGUACUUUAUGAAUAAGCAUCGGCUAACUCCGUGCCAGCAGCCACGGUAAUACGGAGGAUGCGAGCGUUAUCCGGAUUUAUGGGGUUUAAAGGGUGCGUAGGCGGGCUUCGAAGUCAGCGGUAAAAAUUCGGGGCUAAACCCCGUCCGGCCGUGGAAACUGGGGGCGUUGAGUGGGCGAGAAGAAGGCGGAAUGCGUGGUGUAGCGGUGAAAUGCAUAGAUAUCACGCAGAACCCCGAUGGCGAAGGCAGCCUUCCGGAGCCCUACUGACGCUGAGGCACGAAAGUGUGGGGAUCGAACAGGAUUAGAUACCCCAGUAGUC
rnacentral:rRNA from 1 species